rnacentral:rRNA from 1 species
UACGUUGGUCCCGAGCGUUGUCCGGAUUUAUUGGGCGUAAAGCGAGCGCAGGUGGUUUAUUAAGUCUGGUGUAAAAGGCAGUGGCUCAACCAUUGUAUGCAUUGGAAACUGGUAGACUUGAGUGCAGGAGAGGAGAGUGGAAUUCCAUGUGUAGCGGUGAAAUGCGUAGAUAUAUGGAGGAACCCCGGUGGCGAAAGCGGCUCUCUGACCUGUAACUGACACUGAGGCUCGAAAGCGUGGGGAGCAAACAGG